rnacentral:tRNA from 1 species
GGGCAGUUAGCUCAGCUAGGGAGAGCAUCUCCCUUACAAGGAGGAGGUCGCAGGUUCAAUCCCUGCACUGCCCA